rnacentral:rRNA from 1 species
GACAGAGGUGGCGAGCGUUGUUCGGAUUUAUUGGGCGUAAAGCGAACGCAGGCGGUUAUAUAAGACAGAUGUGAAAUCCCCGGGCUCAACCUGGGAACUGCAUUAGUGACUGUAUAGCUAGAGUGCGGCAGAGGGGGAUGGAAUUCCGCGUGUAGCAGUGAAAUGCGUAGAUAUGCGGAGGAACACCGAUGGCGAAGGCAAUCCCCUGGGCCUGCACUGACGCUCAUGCACGAAAGCGUGGGGAGCAAACAGGAUUAGAAACCCCGGUAGU